ACGCUCGACACCUACGGGGCAGCAGUUGGGAAUAUUGGACAAUGGAGGAAACUCUGAUCCAGUGACGCCGCGUGAAGGAAGAAGGUCUUCGGAUUGUAAACUUAUUUUGUCAGGGAAGAAAAAAUGACUGUACCUGAAGAAAAAGCACCGGCUAACUACGUGCCUGCAGCCGCGGUAAUCUGAGCGGGCUGGCAAGGC
rnacentral:rRNA from 1 species